AAAUCGAGAAAAAAAGAUUUUCGCAAUACCUAUCUAGCUUUUCGUUUAAAGCGCAAAUGUGGAAAGCCCUGUACUAGAAGUGAAGCUAAGAAAACGAAACGUAUUGUCAAAAAAAAAAAAGAAGAAGAAAAAAAAAAUAAAUGCAAGAAAAAGAAGUAUUUAUUCCAAGGAAAAAAAAGGAGGAUUACUUAACAGGUGUUUGUGUUGAAUCCACUCGUUCGUUGGUUUAUUUAGUUGGCUGUUUGUUUUGUGUGGCACCGCAUAGCUGAAGUGAAUACAAAAUUGAAUUGAAGUGAAGAAAAAGUAAGAAAUUGCAGGAGAAACAGCAACAAAAAAAAAAAAAUCAAGUGAACCCCAACAAUCCAAUGCUGGGUUCAAAUGGAAAUGUUAUUUGGCAACAACAACAACAACGACAGCAACAGCAACAAAAUACUUGGCUAAACAUAACAAAAGAGUUGCAAAUGAAAAGUCAAUUGUUUUCAUGGUACCUGUGUUAGUGUUGCCAGGUGAAAUAGUAGCUCUGCCGCCAUGCCAUUCAUUCAUUGUUUGAGUGAAAAGUUUUAAAGUUUUGCAUUUUUUUUCUUGUGGUAAAACCAAAGAAAAAAGAGUUGAAAGUUUUUUUGUUUUUUCUUUUAAUAUUCCCAUUGCAAAGUUAAGUCAUACCACACAGUGAGUGUAUUGCGCAGGCGUUUUUGUUGCAUCGAUUGUGGUUGCAAAGAAGUAGAACAUGAAAUUGAACAACUUUACCGCCAACACCGCACCACCAUCAAAGCACAGUGGUCUCCAGGAUUAUUUCGUCAAGUUGCAAGUCCUUAUAUAAGUGAGAGAUUUCUCAACUUGAUGUGGAAAAUAUCUACAAAAUUCGUCUUAAGAACAAAAUUUUCUUUGUGAAUGGAGAUCCACUUUAAAAUCUGCGAUAACAACAAUUAAACACAUCAAUGAAGAGACGCUAACGACUUUCUGCGAAAGAGGAUAUUCUCAAUGAUUGAAACAAUCAAGGGCAACGAGAAGCAGAAGCAGCAAAAACAACAAAAAGAAAGAGAACGACUACGACAUCGAUAGUAAUUGAAGCCAUAAGGCAGACAAGGAACAUCACUCAAGGGGAGUUGUCCUUUUGGGACAAAGGGCCUGGUCAAGAGCAACAUUGGCAUAGGAAAAUAAAAUUAGGAACCAACACGGCAAAAAACAACAGCAGGACGGACAAUAAUGACCAAUAAGACCUUCGGCCACAUCAGUAAUGUGAACAACAGCAGUAGCAGCAAUAACAACAACA